GUGAGACAGGUGCUGCAUGGCUGUCGUCAGCUCGUGUUGUGAAAUGUUGGGUUAAGUCCCGCAACGAGCGCAACCCUUAUCCUUUGUUGCCAGCGGUUAGGCCGGGAACUCAAAGGAGACUGCCAGUGAUAAACUGGAGGAAGGUGGGGAUGACGUCAAGUCAUCAUGGCCCUUACGACCAGGGCUACACACGUGCUACAAUGGCGCAUACAAAGAGAAGCGACCUCGCGAGAGCAAGCGGACCUCAUAAAGUGCGUCGUAGUCCGGAUUGGAGUCUGCAACUCGACUCCAUGAAGUCGGAAUCGCUAGUAAUCGUGGAUCAGAAUGCCACGGUGAAUACGUUCCCGGGCCUUGUACACACCGCCCGUCACACCAUGGGAGUGGGUUGCAAAAGAAGUAGGUAGCUUAACCUUCGGGAGGGCGCUUACCACUUUGUGAUUCAUGACUGGGGUGAAGUCGUAACAAGGUAACCGUAGGGGAACCUGCGGUUGGAUCACCUCCUUACCUGAAAGAA
rnacentral:rRNA from 2 species